GAUGAACGCUGACAGAAUGCUUAACACGUGCAAGUCAUUGGCGAAGCUGCGCUUGCGCAGUCUAGCCAAGGCGGACGGGUGAGUAACGCGUAAGGAACUUGCCCUGCAGACAGGGAUAACAGACGGAAACGACUGAUAACACCUGGUAUUGUCAGGCUGGCGCAUGCCGGCCUGAUGAAAGGAGACGCUGCAGGAGAGCCUUGCGUCCUAUUAGCUAGUUGGUGGGGUAACGGCCCACCAAGGCGAUGAUAGGUAGCCGGCCUGAGAGGGUGAACGGCCACAAGGGGACUGAGAUACGGCCCUUACUCCUACGGGAGGCAGCAGUGGGGAAUAUUGGACAAUGGGGGCAACCCUGAUCCAGCAAUUCUGUGUGCACGAAGAAGGUUUUCGGAUUGUAAAGUGCUUUCAGCAGGGAAGAAGAAAGUGACGGUACCUGCAGAAGAAGCGACGGCUAAAUACGUG
rnacentral:rRNA from 1 species